rnacentral:RNase_P_RNA from 1 species
GCAGUCGGUCGGUCUGUCGCUGAUACUAUAUAAAUAGGUAGAAGAGGAAAGUCCGGGCAACGCAGAGCAUCCUACUUCCUAACAGAAAGCCGCCUGCAAAGGCAGAGUAAUGCAGAAGAAAAGAACCGCCUCCACCCGGAGGUAAGGGUGAGAAGGUAGGGUAAGAGCCUACCAGCCGUAUAGCGAUAUGCGGGCUGUGCAUCUUAGGAGUUGUAAGGUCAUGUAAACCGGCAUUAACGAGGGUUGCUCGCCCCACGUCGGAGGGUGGACCGCUAGAGCCUGUCGGUGACGGCAGGCGUAGAUAAAUGACAGGCUCCCCUGCACCUGCAGGGUGACAGAACCCGGCUUAUAGACCGGCUGCUUUC